UACGAAGGGUGCAAGCGUUAAUCGGAAUUACUGGGCGUAAAGCGUGCGCAGGCGGUUGUGCAAGACCGAUGUGAAAUCCUCGGGCUUAACCUGGGAAUGGCAUUGGUGACUGCACGGCUAGAGUGUGUCAGAGGGGGGUAGAAUUCCACGUGUAGCAGUGAAAUGCGUAGAGAUGUGGAGGAAUACCGAUGGCGAAGGCAGCCCCCUGGGAUAACACUGACGCUCAUGCACGAAAGCGUGGGGAGCAAACAGG
rnacentral:rRNA from 1 species